UGCAGUCAUCAAAGAUAGAAAUUAAAAUAAGUAUUUCUACAUUUUAAGAAGAAACACUAAACUGUUUAGCACCCUUAAUACUAAAUUAAGGGACACUUAAGCACUAGAACCACUACAGCGCACUAAAAGUGGAUAAGCUGGCAGUUAUGCCAAGGCCUUUUGAAUGGUUUGAUACCUAGGUCCCCUACGUGCACACGGACUGGCUCCUCUUUACAGAUACAGCGAAUGUUGACAUUCUAUUACAUUUAUCAGUUUUGUCCAUUAC